UACGGAGGGGGCUAGCGUUGUCCGGAAUUAUUGGGCGUAAAGAGCUCGUAGGCGGUCUGUCGCGUCGAUCGUGAAAACUUGGGGCUUAACCCUGAGCUUGCGGUCGAUACGGGCAUGACUGGAGUUCGGCAGGGGAGACUGGAAUUCCUGGUGUAGCGGUGAAAUGCGCAGAUAUCAGGAGGAACACCGGUGGCGAAGGCGGGUCUCUGGGCCGAUACUGACGCUGAGGAGCGAAAGCGUGGGGAUCAAACAGG
rnacentral:rRNA from 1 species